AUUGAACGCUGGCGGCAUGCUUUACACAUGCAAGUCGAACGGUAACAGCACUUCGGUGGCUGACGAGUGGCGAACGGGUGAGUAAUACAUCGGAACGUGCCUAGUAGUGGGGGAUAACUACUCGAAAGAGUAGCUAAUACCGCAUGAGAUCUAAGGAUAAAAGCAGGGGACCUUCGGGCCUUGCGCUACUAGAGCGGCUGAUGGCAGAUUAGGUAGUUGGUGGGAUAAAAGCUUACCAAGCCGACGAUCUGUAGCUGGUCUGAGAGGACGACCAGCCACACUGGGACUGAGACACGGCCCAGACUCCUACGGGAGGCAGCAGUGGGGAAUUUUGGACAAUGGGCGCAAGCCUGAUCCAGCAAUGCCGCGUGCAGGAUGAAGGCCUUCGGGUUGUAAACUGCUUUUGUACGGAACGAAAAGCCCUCUUCUAAUACAGGAGGGUCAUGACGGUACCGUAAGAAUAAGCACCGGCUAACUACGUG
rnacentral:rRNA from 1 species